UUUCCGUAGGUGAACCUGCGG
rnacentral:rRNA from 10 species